GGUGGGGGAUGACGUCAAGUCCUCAUGGCCCUUAUGGUAGGGCUUCACACGUCAUACAAUGGUCGGGUACAAAGGGCUGCAAUACCGCAAGGUGGAGCGAACCCCAAAAAGACCGGUCUCAGUUCGGAUUGGAGUCUGCAACUCGACUCCAUGAAGUUGGAAUCGCUAGUAAUCGCGGAUCAGCAUGCCGCGGUGAAUACGUUCCCGGGCCUU
rnacentral:rRNA from 1 species